UUCAGUACGUCGUGAGACAGUACGGUCUCUAUCUGAUAUGCGCGCAGGAUACUUGAGGGGAGCUGCCUACAGUACGAGAGGACCUAGGUGGACGAGCCGCCCGUAUACCAGUUGUCGUGCCAACGGCAUAAGCUGGGUAGCGGUGCUCGGUAGGGAUAAACGCUGAAAGCAUCUAAGCGUGAAACCCGCCCCAAGAUAAGGUAUCCCUGGACUUAAUUGUCCCUAAAGACCCCCAGAAGACUACUGGGUUGAUAGGUCAGAUGUGUAAGCAUGGUAACAUGUUCAGCUAACUGAUACUAAUCGGUCGUGAGGCUUGGCCUUAUU
rnacentral:rRNA from 1 species